rfam:TPA: Bos taurus chromosome 2, whole genome shotgun sequence.
UCCCUGGUGGUCCAGUGGUUAAGACUCUACAUUUCCAAUGCAGGGGCCACAAGUUCAAUCCCUGGUCAGGGAA